CGUUACGAACGUGACUCAAUACAUUAAAUAGAUUCCUAUCAGAUAAGUAAACUGUUGAUGCUUGUCUAUGGCUUGCUUUCGGGUAGGUCAUUGGAUAAGUGGAAGUUUACCUGAUAGUUUGUCAACUGUCAAAGGUUGGCUUUGAUCUGCUUAAUGAGACAAAUUGUGUUUAGCAAAAUGAGAUUGAGCAAUAACAGGUCCGUGAUGCCCUUAGAUGUCCUGGGUUGCACGCGCGCUACAAUGAGACCAUCAACGUGAUACCUGAUCUGAAAGGAUUGGGAAAUCACUUAAAUGUGCUCUUAGUUGGGAUUGUGGAUUGUAAUUAUUCACAUGAACCUGGAAUUCCCAGUAAAUGCUAGUCAUCAGCUAGCGUUGACUAAGUCCCUGCCCUUUGUACACACCGCCCGUCGCUAUUACCGAUUGGUUAUUUAGUGAGGUCUCCGGAGGUAAUCGCCGAAGAUGCUUAGGUAUCAUUAGGUUGUUUUGCCAAAGUUGACCGAACUUGAUGAUUGAGAGGAAAUAAAAGUCGUAACAAGGUUUCCGUAGGUGAACCUGCGGAAGGAUCAUUA
rnacentral:rRNA from 1 species